rnacentral:lncRNA from 1 species
UCAAAACGUACUUCUUUUCAUUCUGCAUGUAUGGCAUGGAUUGAAUAGCAGUCAUCCAGAAAGCAGAAAUACCAGUGUCAGAGUCAGAACGCUUAUACAGGGUAGAGAUUUGCUGUUCCAUUUCACUCUUCUAUCCUGGUGUGACUUUGUGACCUCAAGAAAUCCCUUUCUAUCAUGAAAGCUGUCUCCAAGAAUUGGCACCUUUGUGAUUACAUCUCAUUUCUGGUGCUGGAGAGCUGCAUCCAGGAGCUCAAGCUGUGAAGUGGUGAACAAAGCCCUCUGCUAUGUUGUGCUUCUUCACAUAGAUGAAAAUGGACACAAAGAAGCUGGAUUGUGUCUUAAGGUGAAGAAAGAUGCAGCAGCAACUUUGUGAUGGUGCUCCUGGAGAGCAGCGCGGUGCAGCUGGGCUGUGGGGACCACCAGCAUCCCUGCCUCUGCAUCACCCCAUCCAGCACUGGGAAGCACUUCUGUAGGCGUGGAGGUUUCCAUCUUCCAGGCUGUUUGGGCAUGGAGUGCUCCAACAAGGUCACUGACUUGCCCUGUUAUUCUGAAGGUCUCCAUAUCCAUGUGACAUGUGCAUUCCAUGUGAA